ACACCGGCAGCUCAAGUGGUAGCCGCUUUUAUUGGGCCUAAAGCGUCCGUAGCCGGUCUGAUAAGUCUCUGGUGAAAUCCCGCAGCUUAACUGUGGGAAUUGCUGGAGAUACUAUCAUGACUCGAGGUCGGGAGAGGCUGGAGGUACUCCCAGGGUAGGGGUGAAAUCCUGUAAUCCUGGGAGGACCACCUGUGGCGAAGGCGUCCAGCUGGAACGAACCUGACGGUGAGGGACGAAAGCCAGGGGCGCGAACCGGAUUAGAUACCCGGGUAGUCCUGGCCGUAAACGAUGUGGACUUGGUGUUGGGAUGGCUUCGAGCUGCCCCAGUGCCGAAGGGAAGCUGUUAAGUACACCGCCUGGGAAGUACGGCCGCAAGGCUGAAACUUAAAUGAAUUGGCGGGG
rnacentral:rRNA from 1 species